rnacentral:rRNA from 1 species
AUACGUAGGGUGCAAGCGUUAAUCGGAAUUACUGGGCGUAAAGCGUGCGCAGGCGGUUUUGUAAGACAGUGGUGAAAUCCCCGGGCUCAACCUGGGAACUGCCAUUGUGACUGCAAGGCUGGAGUGCGGCAGAGGGGGAUGGAAUUCCGCGUGUAGCAGUGAAAUGCGUAGAUAUGCGGAGGAACACCGAUGGCGAAGGCAAUCCCCUGGGCCUGCACUGACGCUCAUGCACGAAAGCGUGGGGAGCAAACAGGAUUAGAUACCCUGGUAGUCCACGCCCUAAACGAUGUCAACUGGUUGUUGGGGAUUUAUUUUCUCAGUAACGAAGCUAACGCGUGAAGUUGACCGCCUGGGGAGUACAGCCGCAAGGUUAAAACUCAAAUGAAUUGACGGGG